GAAAAACGACUCUCGGCAACGGAUAUCUCGGCUCUCGCAUCGAUGAAGAACGUAGCGAAAUGCGAUACUUGGUGUGAAUUGCAGAAUCCCGUGAACCAUCGAGUCUUUGAACGCAAGUUGCGCCCGAAGUCGUCAGGCCGAGGGCACGUCUGCCUGGGCGUCACG
rnacentral:rRNA from 1 species